rnacentral:rRNA from 1 species
AUAUUUCACACUGGGGUAAACCCUGAUGCAGCGACGCCGCGUGAGCGAAGAAGGCCUNNNGGUCGNACAGCUCUGUCCUAAUGNAAGNAACGGACGGUACCCUAGUAGGAAGCCCCGGCUAACUACGUUCAAUCAGCCGCGGUAAUACGUAGGGGGCGAGCGUUAUCCGGAAUUAUUGGGCGUAAAGGGUGCGUAGGCGGCCUUUUAAGCCAGAUGUGAAAGGCUACGGAUUAACCGUAGUUAGCAUUUGAAACUAAAAGGCUUGAGUGCAGAAGAGGAGAGUGGAAUUCCUAGUGUAGCGGUGAAAUGCGUAGAUAUUAGGAGGAACACCAGUGGCGAAGGAGACUCUCUGGACUGCAACUGACGCUGAGGCACGAAAGCGUGGGGAGCGAACA